CCUACGGGUGGCAGCAGUUUCGAAUCAUUCACAAUGGGCGAAAGCCUGAUGGUGCGACGCCGCGUGAGGGAUGAAGGCCUUCGGGUCGUAAACCUCUGUCACCGGGGAGGCUUAACCCGGAGAGGAAGCAGUGGCUAACUCUGUGCCAGCAGCCGCGGUAAUACAGAGACUGCAAGCGUUAUUCGGAUUCACUGGGCGUAAAGGGUGCGCAGGCGGCCAUGUGUGUUGGGUGUGAAAGCCCGGAGCUUAACUCCGGAAUUGCGCUCAAAACUACAUGGCUAGAGUAUUGGAGAGGGUAACGGAAUUCAUGGUGUAGCAGUGAAAUGCGUAGAUAUCAUGAGGAACACCAGAGGCGAAGGCGGUUACCUGGACAAUACUGACGCUCAGGCACGAAAGCGUGGGGAGCAAAAGGGAUUAGAUACCCUUGUAGUC
rnacentral:rRNA from 1 species